rnacentral:rRNA from 1 species
AGAGUUUGAUCCUGGCUCAGGAUGAACGCUGGCGGCGUGCCUAACACAUGCAAGUCGAGCGAUUCUCUUCGGAGAAGAGCGGCGGACGGGUGAGUAACGCGUGGGUAACCUGCCCUGUACACACGGAUAACAUACCGAAAGGUAUGCUAAUACGAGAUAAUAUACUUUUAUCGCAUGGUAGAAGUAUCAAAGCUCCGGCGGUACAGGAUGGACCCGCGUCUGAUUAGCUAGUUGGUAAGGUAACGGCUUACCAAGGCGACGAUCAGUAGCCGACCUGAGAGGGUGAUCGGCCACAUUGGAACUGAGACACGGUCCAAACUCCUACGGGAGGCAGCAGUGGGGAAUAUUGCACAAUGGGCGAAAGCCUGAUGCAGCAACGCCGCGUGAGCGAUGAAGGCCUUCGGGUCGUAAAGCUCUGUCCUCAAGGAAGAUAAUGACGGUACUUGAGGAGGAAGCCCCGGCUAACUACGUGCCAGCAGCCGCGGUAAUACGUAGGGGGCUAGCGUUAUCCGGAAUUACUGGGCGUAAAGGGUGCGUAGGUGGUUUCUUAAGUCAGAGGUGAAAGGCUACGGCUCAACCGUAGUAAGCCUUUGAAACUGGGAAACUUGAGUGCAGGAGAGGAGAGUGGAAUUCCUAGUGUAGCGGUGAAAUGCGUAGAUAUUAGGAGGAACACCAGUUGCGAAGGCGGCUCUCUGGACUGUAACUGACACUGAGGCACGAAAGCGUGGGGAGCAAACAGGAUUAGAUACCCUGGUAGUCCACGCCGUAAACGAUGAGUACUAGCUGUCGGAGGUUACCCCCUUCGGUGGCGCAGCUAACGCAUUAAGUACUCCGCCUGGGAAGUACGCUCGCAAGAGUGA